rnacentral:tRNA from 1 species
AGUCCCGUGGUGUAGUGGCCAAUCAUAGCGGCCUUUGGUCGUAUUCGGUUCCGGCCGAUACGGAAGAAAGCCGUUGACGGCGGUUCGAAUCCGCCCGGGACUA